CCUACGGGAGGCAGCAGUGGGGAAUAUUGCACAAUGGGCGCAAGCCUGAUGCAGCCAUGCCGCGUGUAUGAAGAAGGCCUUCGGGCUGUAAAGUACUUUCAGCGGGGAUGAAGGGAGUAAAGUUAAUACCUUUGCUCAUUGACGUUACCCGCAGAAGAAGCACCGGCUAACUCCGUGCCAGCAGCCGCGGUAAUA
rnacentral:rRNA from 1 species